rnacentral:rRNA from 1 species
GACGAACGCUGGCGGCGCGCCUAACACAUGCAGGUCGAACGAGCGAGAGAGAGCUUGCUUUCUCGAGCGAGUGGCGAACGGGUGAGUAACGCGUGAGGAACCUGCCUCAAAGAGGGGGACAACAGUUGGAAACGACUGCUAAUACCGCAUAAGCCCACGGUGCCGCAUGGCACCGAGGGAAAAGGGGCAAUCCGCUUUGAGAUGGCCUCGCUUCCGAUUAGCUAGUUGGUGAGGUAAUGGCCCACCAAGGCGACGAUCGGUAGCCGGACUGAGAGGGUGAACGGCCACAUUGGGACUGAGACACGGCCCAGACUCCUACGGGAGGCAGCAGUGGGGAAUAUUGCACAAUGGGGGAAACCCUGAUGCAGCGACGCCGCGUGGAGGAAGAAGGUCUUCGGAUUGUAAACUCCUGUUGUUGGGGAAGAUAAUGACGGUACCCAACAAGGAAGUGACGGCUAACUACGUA